GUGCAGUGUCAUCAUAGACUAUCCAUGACAGAUGAUAGCAAGAAGCAAGAUCUUAGUUCAUCAUUGACAGAUGACUCCAAAAAUGCACAAGCACCUCUGUCUCUAACUGAAUCCCACUUGGCAACUCUUGCUUCUUCUUCUCAGUCCCCAGAAGCUAUCAAACAGUUGCUAGACUCGGGGUUGCCUUCCCUUCUCGUGAGGAGUCUGGCUAGCUUUUGUUUUAGUCACAUUUCUUACUCAGAAAGCAUUGCCCAGUCAGUAGAUAAUUCCCAGGACAAACUCAGGCGGCAUCACGUUCCACAGCACUGUAAUAAGAUGCCCAUCACAGCAGACCUAGUGGCUCCCAUCCUUAGGUUUUUGACAGAAGUUGGCAAUAGUCAUAUCAUGAAAGAUUGGCUUGGUGGUUCUGAAGUCAACCCACUGUGGACAGCACUUCUGUUUUUGUUGUGUCACUCUGGGUCUACCGCUGGAGGACAUAAUUUAGGGGCACAGCAGAGCAGCACAAGGUCAGCUUCUCAUUCUUCAGCUACUACAACAGUCCUGACCACCCAGCAACGGACAGCCAUUGAGAACGCAACUGUUGCCUUCUUUCUGCAGUGUAUUUCAUGUCACCCCAAUAACCAAAAGCUGAUGGCACAGGUUCUCUGUGAACUGUUUCAGACAGCCCCUCAAAGGGGUAGCCUUCCAACAUCUGGGAAUAUUUCCGGGUUUGUGCGAAGACUGUUUCUACAGUUGAUGCUGGAGGAUGAGAAGGUGACAAUGUUUCUUCAGUCACCUUGCCCACUAUAUAAAGGAAGAAUUAAUGCAACUAGCCAUGUCAUCCAACACCCAAUGUUUGGAGCAGGCCAUAAGUUUCGUACUCUGCAUUUGCCAGUCUCAACAACGUUGUCAGAUGUGCUUGAUAGAGUUUCAGAUACACCAAGUAUCACAGCUAAACUUAUUAGUGAGC
rnacentral:lncRNA from 1 species